UGCCCCCGCGGGGUUUGUGUCCCCAGGAGGAGUUGGCUGCGUUUGGAGAUCCCUCGGCCUGAUAUUCGUCGCGUCCCCCUGCUUGUUGCUCUCCACGUUUAGCCCCAUCCGACUUCUGGAAGCCCAGGGAGAGCACCAGAUUCUCAAAACAGUAAGUCCUACCACUUGUUCUAUCGUAAAACUUAUUUUGGGCAAGUCACUCUAGCCUUCGAUAGGUAAGAUAGUCCCUGAAAGCAUUCCAGCUCAAGUCUGCCCCAAGAGGGAGCCACCCCAUGGAAGGACGGAGCUGAGCAACAUGCCACUCAAAGGAAAAGCACUUAGAACCACUCUAGGUGCAGCUGCAAAGACAUCAAGCUGGACCCAUCGAGGAUUUCGGAUUCAGCCAUCAUGGGGCUGCUGCCGGGGAAGCCACUGCCCCUCCUUUCUCCUCAGCACUGGGGUUA
rnacentral:lncRNA from 1 species